rnacentral:siRNA from 1 species
UGAGACGAAGACUCAACUC